UACGUAGGGCGCAAGCGUUGUCCGGAAUUAUUGGGCGUAAAGAGCUCGUAGGCGGCUUGUCACGUCGGGUGUGAAAGCCCGGGGCUUAACCCCGGGUCUGCAUUCGAUACGGGCUAGCUAGAGUGUGGUAGGGGAGAUCGAAUUCCUGGUGUAGCGGUGAAAUGCGCAGAUAUCAGGAGGAACACCGGUGGCGAAGGCGGAUCUCUGGGCCAUUACUGACGCUGAGGAGCGAAAGCGUGGGGAGCGAACCGG
rnacentral:rRNA from 1 species